GUUUGCCAAAAAAUCACGAGUCCUGCACGUGGGCGAGGGUGGUUUCCGGUCCCGACCCCGCGGCGGCAGUGCGCGUUCUUCCGGGGAGUGUUGCCGUGGAUCUCGUCCUGGCCGGCUGCUGCCGCUCUUCUUCGGUUGCGGAUAAUGCUGGUCUUAUCGCCAGCAUAUCCUCUGUUGCAGGUGCUCUACCAUCCCCCAUGGAGUUAUCAAUGCAAAGUUGUGGAACCGAGGAACACAGUCCUCAGCGCCGUGCAGGGGGAAAUGGAGCACGUACCCCUAUGUGGGGGUCUCCUCGGCAACUACCGAGGUGGUGUCCAAUUUGUCUUUCAGGUGCUCUCACGUAUGCCAAAGUCAUCGGCCGCGGUCUGCUUCACUGUUCGGAGUGAGCGUUCCGUGUUGUCAUUCACCAUUAUGACGCCAUAGGGCCCGAGCAGCUUCAGAUUUAGAUAAGCGUAAUGCGAGACGACAUGGAAAUGGGCGAAGGCCAUUCUCCCUAGGAGUGCAUGAUGGCCGCUCAAAAAAAGAACGAUAUCAAAGAUUAAAUCUUUGUUCCAGAAGUUCUCGGGUGUGCCAAAGACUAUGUCUAGGCUUACCAUACCCGAGCACUGUGCUUCCACUCCCGGUAUGAUACCCUUGAAUGUUGUAUUACUGGGUUGGAUCCGUGAUGAGUCUAUAUAUAUGCAUUUUCUUGAUGGUGUUUGCAUAUAUAAGGUUGAGACAGUUGGCACCAUCCAUGAGAACUCUGGUCAAGUGGAAGCCAUCGACUAUGGGGUUAAGGACCGGAGCUGUUGUGCCUUCAUGACGGGUACUAGUUGGAUGGUCACGUCAGUCAAAUUUAAUCAGGAGUUACAACCACGUACUGUAUUUUGGCUCGGCGGUCUCUAUCGCAUGAACAUCAGGGAGCACGUGUUUCCUCUCCUUUUGGUGACAUGAGUGGUGUAGAUCAUGUUCACGUAUUUUACCUUGAGAAGGAACUUCGUUUGGUCGGUAUUGCUCGACAGGGUGGUCUGUAUCGUUAUUUUGCAGCUAUUUUUAGCCUUGAUUUUCGGCUGCCACCUUACCGGCCUACUUGAUCACCUAACAGUUCUAAUUAGUGUGGGUGGUGGGUUUCUCGGGGUUUCCGUGUAUGGUGCCUGGUUGAUCCAAAAUAUUAUCCAGCUGCGAAGGACAGCCUUUCCACCUUGGAGGGGCUUCUUUUUAUUACCUCCCAGUUGGUUGCCGAAACCGACAUUGACUUCGCCAUCCUCGGCGUCACUACUGUUACCUCUAUUUGGGCGCUUGUUGUUCUUGCUGUGCCGAGGUUUCCCAUUUCCGUCGCACAUCUCAGAUGUGCCAGGGUUACCAUUGUGAAUGCUCUUCUAAGCUAACCAGCUAUGCUCACUAGUGCAAAAUCGAGUCAUGAGAUGCGUGAGGCUUGCCAUUGUUCUUUGCUUCUUGUGCCCAUAGCUCUCUCGCCAACCAUUCAUCGCUGAUGUUGUGCCUAAAUGUCGUGAUUGCCCCUUCAUCUGGGCAGUCUAUUAUAUGGUUCUUUGUCGGGAAUCUAUUCUAGAAUUUUCGAACUGAUUAUCAUGGCUUUUGCACAACAUGAGCCAAGUCAUGGACACACGGAGCUCGAAUGUAGGUGCCUUGAAAGUUGGCCCAGAGUUCAUCCCCGUGGUCCUCUCAGACGCCAAUCGAGUUCUCUGGAAGGCUGUUAAGACAAUGCCCAGCCGAGCCUUUGAGCUUUAGAGGAAGAUAUUUAAUGGCGUGGAGGUCAUCUCCGCUUGCCAUGUGUACUGCCAUGAGGAAGUUCUCGGUCCAUAUGGUGGGAUCCGUUAUUCCUUCGUAUUGCUCCAUGUUUAUUGGUUUAAAUCCUUCGGGGAACUAUUGUUGCAUAACGUCGUUUUUAAAGCAUUGAGGAUUCGCAGCACCUCGGACCCUAGCACUGGUGUGGCGCACAUUAGAUAUUGUCACGUUGCGAUCACGUGUAUAGUCGUGUAUGUCACCAUUCUUUGCUAACCAAGCCAGGUAUCGCAUGUCCAGCAGGUGGUCGUUCUCUCGACUUGUAAAUUGACUGAGGUUGGACUUUGAACCUUAAGGGCCUUUUGUCCUUUGGGUCAUACUUUUGGGUAACUCGCGGUGGUUUUAUUUGCCUGGGAGACGCGUUUGGCUGCACCUGUUGGCUGAUCUCUGUCUUGGGGAGGACGAUCGAGGGUUUCAACCCAGUCGUAUGUUGAAAGCAUGCUAUCCUCGGCCUUCACAUCCAACUCAUUCAAUAAGUUUUUGUGAGAUGAGUUGGAGCUUUUUGUCGAACGCCUGCUCGGCCCUGAGGAGCUCGACCCAUCUGUCGUUUAUAUCAUCCUCUUCGGUCUUGAGCCGCUGGGACAUUUUCUUGAUGCUCAUGUCUGUGUUGGCCAAUUGUCCGCGCAUUGUUUCGAGUUGAGGUGCCUCUAGGGGCUCCUCAAAAACAUCGUACUUGUUGGGGCCGAGGCUCCUUUCUUCCUCUGCCUCUAGAUCAUAGUCGUCAUCAUCUUUGCUCUUUUCAUCACCUUUGUUAUUGUUGUCUCAGGUGACAUUGUCGUCAUUCUGGUUAUCUGCACCGUCCCUUGAUGCAUCAUCGCUUCCAGUGCAGUCACUGUUUGCGUCGCUGUUGCCAGUGCCCCUGUUAUGGCGGCCUACGUGUCGGUGUUUUAGGGGUCCUCCCUCUUCUCCUCCGUUUUUUAGGGUGUCCACCAUGUAGACAUGAUAGGUGGAGGUUCUUACCCACUUCCCGUUAUAGGUGACGGCUGGUGGCAAGGUAGUAUAGGAAUUAUCACCGACAUCUUCAUCCAUGUCGGUUGCCUCCUCGGAGGCAUUGGCUAAGAUGUUGGUUAAGUCCUCGACGACAGCGACUAAGUGGGUAGUGGGCGGGCUGAAAAUUCCAGCUUUAUCCCGAUCUUCCCAGAUCCUAUCGUACAAAGAGUUUUGAUCAUCCGAGAUCUCAAGGCUCUGAAUUCUAUCUAACAUAUCGCUCAGAAGGGCCUUAUCGCUUUCACCCAAAACUUGGUUGUAGGCUAGGCUCAGUUGGAGCUGAUGUGCGAUCUGACAUGGCCUUGGGGUCUAUAAUGGCAAGGCUGAAUGCCUGAUCUGUCACCGUAGUACUCGGCUGUAAGCUCAAGGCCAGAUUCGAUGCAGGAUCUACGCCAUGGUCCUCAUAUGUGUUUGAUUCCUUGAUCUGGAUGAAAGUGUCAGUGUGGUCUCUGCCUAGUUUGACACCUAGCCCAAAAACGCAAAUAUGCCCUUGAGGCAAUAAUAAAGUUGUUAUUUCUAUUUCCUUAUAUCAUGAU